UCAGUCCUAGAAACACUGAUGAAUAAGGGGUGGGCAAGUUCUGGUGUCAGCCGCCGCGGUAAAACCAGCACCUCAAGUGGUCAGGAUGAUUAUUGGGCCUAAAGCAUCCGUAGCCGGCUCUGUAAGUUUUCGGUUAAAUCUGUACGCUCAACGUACAGGCUGCCGGGAAUACUGCAGAGCUAGGGAGUGGGAGAAGUAGACGGUACCCGGUAGGAAGGGGUAAAAUCCUUUGAUCUAUUGAUGACCACCUGUGGCGAAGGCGGUCUACCAGAACACGUUCGACGGUGAGGGAUGAAAGCUGGGGGAGCAAACCGGAUUAGAUACCCGGGUAGUCCCAGCUGUAAACUAUGCAAACUCGAUGAUGCGUUGGCUUGUUGCUAGCGCAGUGUCGCAGGGAAGCCGUUAAGUUUGCCGCCUGGGAAGUACGUACGCAAGUAUGAAACUUAAAGGAAUUGGCGGGGGAGCACCACAAGGGGUGAAGCCUGCGGUUCAAUUGGAGUCAACGCCGGAAAUC
rnacentral:rRNA from 1 species